GAUGAACGCUAGCGGCAGGCUUAAUACAUGCAAGUCGAGGGGCAGCGGGGGGUAGCAAUACCUGCCGGCGACCGGCAAACGGGUGCGGAACACGUACACAACCUUCCUUUAAGUGGGGGAUAGCCCAGAGAAAUUUGGAUUAAUACCCCGUAAUAUUAUUAGGUGGCAUCAUUUAGUAAUUAAAGCUGAGGCGCUUGGAGAUGGGUGUGCGUCUGAUUAGGUAGUUGGCGGGGUAACGCCCACCAAGCCUUCGAUCAGUAACUGGUGUGAGAGCACGACCAGUCACACGGGCACUGAGACACGGGCCCGACUCCUACGGGAGGCAGCAGUAAGGAAUAUUGGUCAAUGGACGCAAGUCUGAACCAGCCAUGCCGCGUGGAGGAUGAAGGUCCUCUGGAUUGUAAAC
rnacentral:rRNA from 1 species